GCAGUCGAGCGAGACCUUCGGGUCUAGCGGCGGACGGGUGAGUAACGCGUGGGAACGUGCCCUUUGCUACGGAAUAGCCCCGGGAAACUGGGAGUAAUACCGUAUGUGCCCUUCGGGGGAAAGAUUUAUCGGCAAAGGAUCGGCCCGCGUUGGAUUAGGUAGUUGGUGGGGUAAUGGCCUACCAAGCCGACGAUCCAUAGCUGGUUUGAGAGGAUGAUCAGCCACACUGGGACUGAGACACGGCCCAGACUCCUACGGGAGGCAGCAGUGGGGAAUCUUAGACAAUGGGGGCAACCCUGAUCUAGCCAUGCCGCGUGAGUGAUGAAGGCCUUAGGGUUGUAAAGCUCUUUCAGCUGGGAAGAUAAUGACGGUACCAGCAGAAGAAGCCCCGGCUAACUCCGUGCCAGCAGCCGCGGUAAUACAGAGGGGGCUAGCGUUGUUCGGAAUUACUGGGCGUAAAGCGCACGUACGCGGACCGGACAGUCAGAGGUGAAAUCCCACGGCUCAACCUUGGAACUGCCUUUGAAA
rnacentral:rRNA from 1 species